AUGCGCGGAAUCAGACCGACCAUCCAGCGCGCGCAGGCGCAGAAGCCGGAGAAGGUGCCGGGUCGAGUCCCUCCUUCCGGUAUUCAUCCACCUUCUCUCCGGACUCUGGUCGCGGCCGCCCGUGACCGCCUCUCCAACCCCAGUGGGCGGGUGGCAGAGAGAGUGUGUAAGCAGGGGAGAGGGAAAAAGCAUCUUAAGCAGACUCCACAGAGCUCAGCGCAGAGCCCCACGCGGGGCUCCACCCACGACCCUGGGAUCGUGACCCGAGCUGAUACCAGGAGUCAGACGCUCAAACAACUAAGCCGCCCAGGCGCCCCACACGUAACGUUUAACAAUGUGAGGAAAUUUGCUUGUGUGCACCAGGUGACGUGUAUAAGAACGUUCCCAACGGCACUGUCUAUAGUAUCAGAAACCCGUCAGCGCUGGAACAGAUCGUGUGUGGUGCCAUCACACAGCAGCAUCAUCAACAGCACAGACGAAUUAAUUCCAGCUUCUCACUACUUUUGAGGUUGAAUCUCAGGUUAGAAGUUGAGAGGGGAAAUUAAGUCAAAAACGAAAAAAAAAAAAAACUAAGCAAAAUGUUGUUUGAGGAAGUAAACGUGUAGGAAAUGAAAAACAAGAGUGUGACAAAUUUCAGAUUAUUACCCCUAAACGGGAGAGGAGUAAAUGUUAGAGUGUAUUGUCUCAGCCACAUGUUAUGAAUGAUUUAUAUCCACUCAAAGUUUGUUGGAAGUUAUUUACAGGAAACGUACCUUUAGAAGAGAAGGGGGAAAAUAACAAGGAAAGAACCUCGUAAGGUCUCCAGCUGAGAGACGUAAGAAAAUUCGGGAGGUUCACAGGCUAUCCUUUUCUGUCCGGAAUCACCCCUCCACCCCAUGCCAUAGUGCUGCUUGCUCAAGUGCGUGUGUGAGUUACUUAGUUUUCUCUCUGUGGUUGCCUAGGGCUGGGUUCCCGAGAGCCUAGUGGUCUGAGUUACCCUGCUGUCUGACACGGGAGCACACCGUGAGUAUUGGUUCCUGGUCUGCAGGGCAUUGCAGGCAGCCCAUUGGCAGUGGUUUUUUAUAAAUACGUAGUUUCUAUUCAGAAAUUAGGAUUAACAAUACAG
rnacentral:lncRNA from 1 species